AGUCGUUCCCUUGUGGUUGGUGUACAGGUGGUGCAUGGCUGUCGUCAGCUCGUGUCGUGAGAUGUUGGGUUAAGUCCCGCAACGAGCGCAACCCUUGUCCUGUAUUGCCAGCGGGUUAUGCCGGGGACUUGCAGGAGACUGCCGGGGUCAACUCGGAGGAAGGUGGGGAUGACGUCAAGUCAUCAUGCCCCUUAUGUCCAGGGCUUCACACAUGCUACAAUGGCUGGUACAGAGGGCUGCGAUACCGUGAGGUGGAGCGAAUCCCUUAAAGCCAGUCUCAGUUCGGAUUGGGGUCUGCAACUCGACCCCAUGAAGUCGGAGUCGCUAGUAAUCGCAGAUCAGCAACGCUGCGGUGAAUACGUUCCCGGGCCUUGUACACACCGCCCGUCACGUCAUGAAAGUCGGUAACACC
rnacentral:rRNA from 1 species